rnacentral:lncRNA from 1 species
UAGCUAAUGCCCAAGACGGAUUAUACUACUUUAAAUCAAGUAAGGCAUCCAUGACAUGUUCUGCAGUAGAUAUUCAGACAUGUCAUACAAGAUUAUGUCAUAUUUCUUUUAAGAAAAUAAAACUUUUAACAAAAACUUGUAAGAUGUAGUUUUAAAGGAUUCUAUGAAUAAAUUUUUUUAUGAAUUUUGUAAUAUUUGCUCACUUACUAAAUAACAAAAGUUAUCAUUUCCAAAGAAAAGUUACACACAAACUCAUGAUAUAUUUGACAUAAUUCAUGUGGAUAUUUUGGGUAAAUUAUCAAUCCAAACAUACAAUUUAAAACAAUAUUUUUUAACAAUUGUUGAAAAUAAAAGUAGAAAUGUUUGGGUAUAUGAAUGAGUAAAAAAUCAAAUACGUUUGAAGUGAUUAAAAACUUUAUAACGAUGAUUAAGACUUAAUACAAUAAACAAAUUAAAAAAAUCAGUUCAGAUAAUGGUCUAGAAUUUACAUCAAAUAAAAUAAAAGAGAUACUAAAAUUCAAUGGAAUUACCUAAUUAAUGAAUGUGGUCUUCUAGGAGGAAAAAUCUCAAAAAUCACAAUGGAAAAAGGGAUAGAUUGGAGAAACAAUCAAACCAAAGAAUUAAAUGAUCCUUUCAUUUAUAGAAGGAUCAUAGGAAAAUUGAUAUACCUUAACAUCACCAGACCUGACAUUACAUAUACAGUCAGGAUUCUAAGUCAAUUUAUGGAAAAAACCAACACAAAUGCAUCUAGAUGCAAUUAAUUUGAUACUUAAAACAAGCUCCUGAACAAGGGAUUAUGAUAAGUAAAGAAAAACCACUAGAGUUGGAAGGUUAUUGUGAUGCAGACUGGGGUGCAUGCACUCUCAGUAGAAGAUCAAUGUUUGAUUUUUGCAUGCUCUUAGGUGGAAAUUUGAUCUCAUAGAAAUCAAACAAGCAACAAACUGUUUCUUUUUCUUUAGCUGAAUCCGAAUACAGAGCUCUGACGACAGCAACAAGAGAGGUAAUAUGGAUAAGGCAACUUAUGAAAGAGAUGAAAAUGCCACUAAAUAAUCCAACAUCAUUGUAUUGUGAUAACAAAUCUGCGCUAUACAUAGCACAAAAUCCUGUUUUUCACGAGAAAACAAAACACACAGAGAUGAUAUGUAACUAUGUGAGGGAAAAAAUAGAAUUAGGUGAUAUGACCCUCAAACACAUUGGAACAAAGCAAAACCUAGCCGACAUAUUCACCAAAACAAUGGGUGAAGUCCAAAUGACUGGAUUCCUAUCCAAAUUGGGCAUCAAAGACAUCUACUCCUCAAUUUGAGGGGGGGGUGUAUUAAGUAUAUAUUAGUAUUAAUUAAGAAUUAUUAAAAGGAUGGAACCUAAGAUCAAGUCAGAGUUAAAUCAACUACAAGAAGAGGUCGGCUAAAAUAAUUAGUUAAAUAUUAAGUUGUUAAAUUUUAUCUAAUUACUAAUCCUAGUUAUUUUAUCUAAAUACAUUUGGAAACUAUUAAAAUAAAUUAUAAACUUACUGCAAUUUUUCCACCUUCUUCUUCCUCUAUCUUUUAUUGUUACGAUAGUUGCUGAUUGGGUUCAGGUAAGCUUGGUGGUAGAAAGUCCUAUUGGGGCUUUCUGAUUAUGACCACUACAGUUGCGAUUCUUGACGGGAACAACUGCAGAUCUAAGGGCAAUUUUUUAUAUGAGAAGCCUUGUGAAUCUCACCAUCUCCUUCAACUUCUUUUCCGAGUUCAGUCACGACCGUACAAAAUCAUUCCAGGGAUUUGAUUUCCUCUAGAGGGAUGCAAAGACCAUCGCCGGACUGUGCUUCUGUUCCCGCCGGCGUCCAGGAAAGCUGCUAUAUACAAGCUGGUGAGUUACAUGCACCAACGACUAAUACAAUUAACUAACGAAGAGUAAAUUAAGAAAAAUUACUUUCUAACAAUCCCUAACGAUGUAAGAACUAGAAUUGGUGGUUACUUUUGACCACGAAGCCAUUUAAGUGAUUAGAAAUGAAACCCAUCAAAAAAAUGUAAAAGUUGACAUUUGUUUGUUAGGACAUAUAAGUCGUGGA